AACGCAGGGAGCUCUAUCGCCGGGAUCUUUAAGAUCUGGGAGGAAAAUCCGGACAACGUAGAGCACCACACCAUCUAACGGAUGGGGUUCCGGGAUAACCGGGAUACAGAAAGUGUCGCAGAAAAUUACCGCCCCGGAUUCGGGGUAAGGGUGAAAACGUGUGGUAAGAGCGCACGCGAAGGUAAGGCAACUUAUUUUCGGGAUAAACCUUGUGGGUUGAAAUGCCAUGUAUAUUCCGGAUUGCCACUUUGGUGGUAAAAUGGACUGCUCGUCCAAUUGUCUUGCACAACCGGAAGGGGUAGGCAGCUAGACUAUUACUGUGAAGUAAUAGCCAGAUAAAUGAUAGAGGUCCGGAUGGAAACAUCCGGAUACAGAAUCCGGUUUACAUCCCUGUGUUUUUA
rnacentral:RNase_P_RNA from 1 species